rnacentral:rRNA from 1 species
GACGAACGCUGGCGGCGUGCUUAACACAUGCAAGUCGAACGGAAAGGCCCUUCGGGGUACUCGAGUGGCGAACGGGUGAGUAAGACGGGGGUGCUCGGCCCUGCACCUUGGGAUAAGCCUGGGAUACUGGGUCUAAUACCGAAUAGGACUAUGCGCUUCAUGGUGAGUGGUGGAAAGCUUUGGCGGCGUGGGAUGGGCCCGCGGCCUAUCAGCUUGUUCGUGGGGUAGUGGCCUACCAUGGCGACGACGGGUAGCCGGCCUGAGAGGGUGACCGGCCACACUGGGACUGAGAUACGGCCCAGACUCCUACGGGAGGCAGCAGUGGAGAAUGUUGCACAGUGGGCGCAAGCCUGAUGCAGCGACGCCGCGUGGGGGAUGACGGCCUUCGGGUUGUAAACCUCUGUCAAUAGGGACGAAGCGCUAGUGACGGUACCUAUAGAAGAAGCACCGGCCAACUACGUG